rnacentral:rRNA from 1 species
GAUGAACGCUGGCGGCGUGCCUAAUACAUGCAAGUCGAACGCUGGAAAUCUAGCUUGCUAGAUUGAAGGAGUGGCGAACGGGUGAGUAAUACAUAAGCAACCUACCCACGAAGACUGGGAUAAUCUCUGGAAACGGGGACUAAUACCGGAUAGGUAAUCGGAAGGCAUCUUCUGAUUAUUAAAGGUUAAAAACACUGGUGGAUGGGCUUAUGGCGCAUUAGUUAGUUGGUGAGGUAACGGCCCACCAAGACGAUGAUGCGUAGCCGGCCUGAGAGGGUGAACGGCCACAUUGGGACUGAGACACGGCCCAGACUCCUACGGGAGGCAGCAGUAGGGAAUUUUCGGCAAUGGGGGAAACCCUGACCGAGCAACGCCGCGUGAGUGAUGACGGCCUUCGGGUUGUAAAGCUCUGUUGUAAGGGAAGAACGGUAGAUAGAGAAUAUCUAAAUGACGGUACCUUACCAAAAAGCCACGGCUAACUACGUG